rnacentral:rRNA from 1 species
UGGGGAAUCUUGGACAAUGGGCGCAAGCCUGAUCCAGCCAUGCCGCGUGAGUGAUGAAGGCCUUAGGGUUGUAAAAUCCUUUCGUGGGGGACGAUAAUGACGGUACCCCAAGAAGAAGCUCCGGCUAACUUCGUGCCAGCAGCCGCGGUAAUACGAAGGGGGCUAGCGUUGUUCGGAUUUACUGGGCGUAAAGCGCGUGUAGGCGGGUCGUUAAGUUGGGGGUGAAAUCCCGAGGCUCAACCUCGGAACUGCCUUCAAAACUGGCGACCUGGACCCAAGUAGAGGCAAGUGGAAUUGCGAGUGUAGAGGUGAAAUUCGUAGAUAUUCGCAGGAACACCAGUGGCGAAGGCGACUUGCUGGACUUGUGGUGACGCUGAGACGCGAAAGCGUGGGGAGCAAACAGGAUUAGAUACCCCAGUAGUCCCUGAGCGGGCUGGCAAGGCGCAU